rnacentral:rRNA from 1 species
UACGUAGGGUGCGAGCGUUAAUCGGAAUUACUGGGCGUAAAGCGUGCGCAGGCGGUGAUGUAAGACAGGUGUGAAAUCCCCGGGCUUAACCUGGGAAUGGCAUUUGGGACUGCAAGGCUUGAGUGCGGCAGAGGAGACUGGAAUUCCUGGUGUAGCAGUGAAAUGCGUAGAUAUCAGGAGGAAUACCGAUGGCGAAGGCAGGUCUCUGGGCUGACACUGACGCUCAUGCACGAAAGCGUGGGGAGCAAACAGG